GACGAACGCUGGCGGCGUGCCUAAUACAUGCAAGUAGAACGCUGAAGAGAGGAGCUUGCUCUUUUUGGAUGAGUUGCGAACGGGUGAGUAACGCGUAGGUAACCUGCCUGGUAGCGGGGGAUAACUAUUGGAAACGAUAGCUAAUACCGCAUAAUAUUAAUUAUUGCAUGAUAAUUAAUUGAAAGAUGCAACUGCAUCACUACCAGAUGGACCUGCGUUGUAUUAGCUAGUUGGUGAGGUAACGGCUCACCAAGGCGACGAUACAUAGCCGACCUGAGAGGGUGAUCGGCCACACUGGGACUGAGACACGGCCCAGACUCCUACGGGAGGCAGCAGUAGGGAAUCUUCGGCAAUGGGGGGAACCCUGACCGAGCAACGCCGCGUGAGUGAAGAAGGUUUUCGGAUCGUAAAGCUCUGUUGUAAGAGAAGAACGGGUGUGAGAGUGGAAAGUUCACACUGUGACGGUAUCUUACCAGAAAGGGACGGCUAACUACGUGCCAGCAGCCGCGGUAAUACGUAGGUCCCGAGCGUUGUCCGGAUUUAUUGGGCGUAAAGCGAGCGCAGGCGGUUAGAUAAGUCUGAAGUUAAAGGCUGUGGCUUAACCAUAGUAUGCUUUGGAAACUGUUUAACUUGAGUGCAGAAGGGGAGAAUGGAAUUCCAUGUGUAGCGGUGAAAUGCGUAGAUAUAUGGAGGAACACCGGUGGCGAAAGCGGCUCUCUGGUCUGUAACUGACGCUGAGGCUCGAAAGCGUGGGGAGCAAACAGG
rnacentral:rRNA from 1 species